AUUGAACGCUGGCGGCAGGCCUAACACAUGCAAGUCGAACGAGUGGCGGACGGGUGAGUAAUGUCUGGGAAACUGCCUGAUGGCGGGGGAUAACUACUGGAAACGGUAGCUAAUACCGCAUACCAUCGGAUGUGCCCAGAUGGGAUUAGCUAGUAGGUGGGGUAAAGGCUCCCCGAGGCGACGAUCCCUAGCUGGGCUUAGAGGAUGACAAGCCACACUGGAACUGAGACACGGUCCAGACUCGUACGUGAGGGAGCAGUGGGGAAUAUUGCACAAUGGGCGCAAGCCUGAUGCAGCCAUGCCGCGUGUAUGAAGAAGGCCGUCGGGUUGUAAAGUACUUUAAGCGGGGAGGCGUUACCCGCAGAAGAAGCACCGGCUAACUCCGUGCCAGCAGCCGCGGUAAUAC
rnacentral:rRNA from 1 species